rnacentral:lncRNA from 1 species
GUCAGCUACUUUUCUUGUCAGCCGUGUGGCCAAAGGGAGCAGGAAUGUCUCUCAGACUUCAGCUUUGAGGAAGAAGAGUUCAGAUUGCCAGAACUGGACUAGCACUUUUGAAUUUCCCAGAAUGCCAGUCCAGAUGUUGGCCCGGCCUCAUCAGGAGUUGACUGAGAAUGGGGUUCCAUACCCGGACACGGAUUCGGUUGGAGAGCUGCCUACAGGGCCAGAUCAGUUUGCUGUUCCACAUCAGGAUCUGAAUAACAAGCAAACCCAACAUCAAAAGCUCCCAGAGGCAGUUCCAGUGCUAGACUGGGAUCAGAAUCAGCCCUUGGUUCUCCUUUCUCGACACAAAAGAUCUUACCUAACCAUAUGGCCUGCUGCCUCUGCCAAUUUAAAAAUAUCAUUGAGGUUGUCUGUAAGAGAGUCAAGCUGUGUUCUGACAGUGGAUGCCUGACAGACUUCACACAUUGUGUUAUUUUUGACAGAUGAAGAAACAUCUAUAGGGAAUGCAGAAGCAUCGUUGAUGAAGGUGUUACAAGCCUGGAAGAAGAACAGCAGCGAGCUGACUAUUGAGUCAGAGAGGGCAUCCUCAGAUAAAGUGCUGUCAGCUUGUCAGGCUUCAUGAAUGAGCAGCUGGACUUUAAUAAUAAAAGUGAUAUUAUCAGUGCAUGAAUUACAUACUGCCUUUUAUCUCAGAGGGAAAUCUAGGAGAUAUGGAAUCAAUAUUAUUACCUUUCAU